UGUGGCUGUGCUGGUUCCUGGAUGUGUGCUGAACACAUUACAAUUUUUUUAGCCUGGAACUUGUUUUCAUUUCAGAGUUCAGAUCUUAUGUAGUAAAUGAUGUUUACUUAAACUUAGCAGCAAUGGGAAAGAUGUACAAGAAGAAACAAGAUGAGAAACAUGAACCUUGAAGAGGAGGAUUUGGGGAAAAGAUUGAUGGUGGUGGUAGCAGCAGCAGUAAAAAACCAGUUGGAAAACACAAACCUGAGGAGACAGGGAUUUGAAAUUAAGUGAAGGCUGAUUUGGAAAUGGCAUACUUGAUGUGAAGCAUUUGUUGAAGUCAACACCUACAAGAGGUCAUUAUACUCU